rnacentral:rRNA from 1 species
UUGCCUCUUGGUCUGGGACAACUGUUGGAAACGACAGCUAAUACCGGAUAUUAUGAGAUUCUCGCAUGGGAAACUUAUGAAAGCUAUAUGCGCCAAGAGAGAGCCUUGCGUUCCAUUAGCUAGUUGGUGGGGUAACGGCCCACCAAGGCGACGAUGGAUAGCCGGCCUGAGAGGGUGAACGGCCACAAGGGGACUGAGACACGGCCCUUACUCCUACGGGAGGCAGCAGUGGGGAAUAUUGGACAAUGGGCCACAAGCCUGAUCCAGCAAUUCUGUGUGCACGAUGAAGGUCUUCGGAUUGUAAAGUGCUUUCAGUUGGGAAGAAGAAAGUGACGGUACCAACAGAAGAAGCGACGGCUAAAUACGUGCCAGCAGCCGCGGUAAUACGUAUGUCGCAAGCGUUAUCCGGAUUUAUUGGGCGUAAAGCGCGUCUAGGCGGAAAAAUAAGUCUGAUGUUAAAAUGCGGGGCUCAACUCCGUAUUGCGUUGGAAACUGUUUUUCUAGAGUACUGGAGAGGUGGGCGGAACUACAAGUGUAGAGGUGAAAUUCGUAGAUAUUUGUAGGA